ensembl:lncRNA
AACAAAAGUAACGUAGUAACUGUAACUGUCUUUGGCAACUUAUAUGAGGAAAACAAAUACUGCAGCUGUAUGUGGAGAAGCGUCUGUCCUCCUGUCUGUCCUCCUGUCUGUCCUCCUGUCUGUCCUACUGACUCUUCCUCACAUGUCUGCUCAAAAAACAGCAUCUGUCACAGGCAAAAAACUUUAACUCACCCAGUGUUUAAUAAAUCACUGCGACCGUCAGCCCUCCGGGCCGAGACUUCAGGGAGCUUUCCCCCAGAAAACAGCCUCCAUCCCCGCGAGUGACAGAGUCAGACAGCGUCCUGUUUACUGAUGGUGAUUAUGUAAUUAUGUCAUUUAGCGCAAAAAAUUUAACUUUGUCACUUUCCAGGAUGUUUGGUGGGUCAGGAUCUCAAUCACUACACAUUAUAACAGCAUCCAUAUGAUUAUAAACUGUCCGCAGGUUUAGAUUGACAGGAGGAACACCUGGGAAACACCGACGUCAUCAACAUGACGUGUACCGUCACGCCUCUUUAGGAGCCGCAGCGCCGGCUUUCUGUGUGAAUUACACACGUGAAGGUGGAGAUGCUUCGCUCUGUGUGAAUCACCAUCGGUGGAGAAAUGGCGAACCACUGCUCCGGAGAUAAUGCGGAGAGGCUGUGUAAAAAGGGCUACAGAUGCAAACUGCAGCUAUCCAUUUGGAAGCCUUGUCGCUUGUAACUCCACCACCACCACCACCUCCAGCUCCUGACAUGACAGCCAGAUUUCACCAGCGACCAUCUGCUCAGCCUUCCACACCACCACCAUCUCCAAUCUGCCAGUGCUACCCGCUAAAUCCCAGUAACCCAGUGAGACCACUCUACCCAGCCACUCGUCAACACCUGCUUACUUGCUCAUCUCCAUCUUUGCCCAUUCACUUCUUGUUCAAAAAAAGCUUUUGUUUUUGCACAGCUUCUCAUGUCUCUGCGUUUGGGUCCAACCAAAACGUCACAGAACAAUCUCGCCCAUAUGGACCCAACAGACAACAUCACGCAAUUUAUGGAUAUAUGUGACAAUUCGUGUUUUACUUUGAAUAUCAACAUGGACAUUAUGGAGAUGCUAGAAGUCAUAGCCAUAUUUAAAAAGGAGCUGGUCUUUAAGCCCUGGUUGCGAGAAACACUGGGAGGAGCGGAACUCAAUUCUUGUGUGGCUAUGUUUGAAAAUCUCCAGUGUUUGCCAGAGUCCCAUCAGCUCCAAUGUUUGGCAGCUUCUAGUCAGCUCCAGGGCCUGCUAGACACCAGCUAGCUAGUCUCCAAUAAGAUCCACUGUUUGCUAAUCCCCAGCCAAAGACCACUGACACCUCCAGCAGGCCCCAAAUGUAUCCUUUCCGGGGAACCUGCCAAGCCCACAGGGUGCCUCAACUGAAAAAGCGAGCCUCCCAACCACAUCCAGACUCUCUAACAUCUGGCUCCCUUGUCUACUGUUCUUCACCACUGUCCAGGUGCUCGUCUUUGCCACUGCCCAGUGGCCCAGGGCCAAACCUGCCCAAGCUCUGCCAUCUCAGCAUCCAUCAGGCUGUGGUUCCAAGUCGCCAUCCAUACUAGCCAUCUGCUCAGCCUUCCACAUCGUCAUCUUCUCCAGUCUACCACUGCUACCAGCUAAAUCCCAGUAACCCGGUGAGACCGCAAUACCCAGCCACUGGUCAUGAACCAUUCGUCCUGCCUGUCUCCAGCUUU